GCGAUUCCACAGUUCGGUGACUUUCGUAAUACCACACUCAAAUAUCUGGUCACUCUUGUGUGCUGAUAUCUUAUGUUGUGUUAAUUUGCAUGAUUCUGCAAAUCUCUUGCUGCAAACGUCACAUUCGUAAGGUUUGUCUCUAGUAUGUGUUUUUAUACGUGGCUAAAUGGCUCGAUUGUGAAAAUUUCUUCUAACAAACAUCAUGUUCAUAAGGUUUGUUUCCAGUGUGUGUUCUUUUAUGUUUAACUAAGGUGCUUGAGUAUGAAAAUCGUUUGUUGCAAACAUCGCAUUGAUAAGGUUUCUCUCCAGUGUGUGUUCUCUUAUGUCUAGCUAAGGUGCUUGACACCAAAAAUCUUUUGUUACAAACAUUGCAUUCAUAAGGUUUGUCUCCAGUGUGUGUUCUUUUGUGAUCUGCUCUGUGGCUUGACUGUGAAAAUCGUUUGUUGCAAACAUCGCAUUCAUAAGGUUUGUCUCCAGUAUGUGUUCUUUUAUGUUUAACUACGUUGCUUGAGCAUGAAAAUCUUUUGUUGCAAACAUCACAUUCAUAAGGUCUGUUCCCAGUGUGUGUUCUUUUAUGUCCAGCUAAGCUGCUUGUGUCAGAAAAUCUUUUGUUGCAAACAUCACAUUCAUAAGGUUUGUACCCAGUGUGUGUUCUUUCAUGUCUAGCUAAGUUGCUCGAUCGUAAAAAUGUCUUCUUACAAACAUCGCAUUCAUAAGGUUUGUUACCAGUGUGUGUUCUUUCAUGUCUAGCUAAGAUGCUCGAUCGUAAAAAUCUCUUCUUACAAACAUCACAUUCAUAAGGUUUGUCUCCAGUGUGUGUUCUCUUGUGAACCGUCAAGUACCUUGAUCGUAAAAAUCGUUUGUCACAAACAUCACAUUCAUAAGGUUUGUCUUCAGUGCGUGCUCUUUUAUGUCUCACCAAAUUUCCUUCGCAUUUCCUAGACAUGGUUUCAGCGGUUGAUCUUUUCGCCGUACGGUCACACGUGCGGUCAAAUUUCGAUGAGAAAUAUCGCCCGACUGUUCCCUCUAGUCUUUUUUUAUUGAAUCUUUAUAAUACUUUGGUUUUUAUAGAAUUUCCGAACAUAGAAAUGAGAAUAUUCCGAGACACAGUCUGCAAACAACACCAUAUGGGAUAUGGC